UUGGCAUAGGUUACAUCGUGUGUCUACCCUCGCUAUAUAUGAGAGGCCUAGGAUACAAGUGUCCUGGCCACGACUCCAUAUCUUAUCUAAAUACAAUGCAGUUAUAAAUCGAACUGUAACCUACCUUGUACACUAUAUUCGACACAACUCUAACAGAGAGAACGAAAAAGGAUAUGUGAAAAGGGGAGCCACCGCCGCUUCCUCCACAGGUCCCCGUCUCUGGCAUUAGUGCAACCACGCCGCUGCCUGCUAGCAGGCUGCAUGCCGCCGCAGUCGCAAUUCCUUCCCAUGUCUGCCCUUCAUCCACCUCGGAGUGGCUACAGGGUAGCAGGCGCAAACCCUAGGCCUGGUUCUUGAUCUGCCUACUUGGUGGAUGUGGCUGCGUUUCGGUGCCGAUUCCGCAACCAACGCUGCUCACUUCCAGCCUUCCUCCUCAUGCCCGCAUCAAUCUUCGCUCUCGCUUGACAACAUGGAGGUGAACACCGCUGCAUCCAUGGUGACACCUUCUGUGACCAAGGUUCUCUCUCCUAUCACCUCUUUUUCCUCAGGUCCAGCACAUGAUUGGAAGAUGAGGGCAAGCCUGCCAAAACCUGAAAUUUCAUCAGGGAUUGUGAUGCCGGCCAAGCAAAGGAAGAUCUGCAACAAAACUGUAUGUGGACUGCUCCAUUACUAUUUCUGCUAGAAAUUCUGAUGUAUAUCUAUAAUAUUUGUUAGGUGCCGACUUGAUCGGACCAGUUGCCUAAGUAGUUGAGUUGUGAGAGGCCAGAAUUAUUUGUUGCUUGCCCAUGCCUUUGGGUGAGCCACAUACAAGCUAGCUACUAGAUCAAUUGAUUGAUUCUUUUGGUAAAACACAAUACACGCCAAGUAAAGGAAACUGUGUACCAAAUUCGUACAAACUGCUCCCUUAUAAUUUUUUCUCUGAAUUUUAAGGUAUGCACCCACUCCGUGUUAGUUGUGGGAUGCUUGUCGUAUGUCAGAUCGUUGCCUAAGUAGACUUUAGUUGUUGAAACAUGCACGCACAUCUGACCGGUUUGCUGAUUAGUACUAGGCAAUUGAUGUGAGGUCAGGUGUAGUUUAUCAUUUGUAAGGCAAAUAAAUAGAUUCCUCUAACAGAGAAAAAAGCUACUGAACAAAACUGAUCUUCUCACAACAUGCUAAUCUCAUAUUGACCGAUUUACUGUUAAAAGAGAUCGAAAAGCAAGUAUUGGGGACCUCCUAUUGUCCUGUGAUGCCCGUCGGCUUGUCGACAAACAUAAGAAAGAAGCAAAGAUCUAUAGUAAUGGUAGCAUAAAAAAUUGAGUCCCUGGUUCAAUGGCAAUGUGUUGUGCUUGAGUUCUACUUUGAUAGUCCGAGAUACAAUGUCUACUAUACAUGUUGCAUGUUAUUACCUCCUCCAAUUAAGAUGCCAUUUGAAUAACUUAAAUAUUACAUGUUCAGAUGUGCAGGUUAACUAAUAUAAGGUUUAAUUAGGAACUAAGACUAUGCUGUAAAACAUGUUCUAAUUCGCUCACAUGCAAACCCUCCUAAUUUCAUCCCUCAAACCUCAGGUAACAUAUUUCUACAGCAUAGGUGUCUGUUUUCGUUGUUUUCUAUGUUUUUGGAGUUGUAAUAAAUUUAUUUUGUGCUGCAGAUAAUACAUAGUAGUAUAUUAAGUUUGAAUUUGUGAUCUUGUUCUCUCGCCUGCUAUAUAGAGUUUUGCUUGACCUGCAUGAAUCAUUUGAAGAGAGUGAUAAAAGGAGAUGGAGAGAGAUGCAUGUUGUGAAUGAGCAAGCCCAUUCGAUUCAAAACAUGAUCCAUGUGCUGAGAAAUUUCGAUGUUAAUUCAAUUGUAUAUUUCUCACUUCUCGGUUGCUACGUUCAUAUUUGAUAUACAAGCAGCUUUGUACAUGAAGAAUCCAUGUGCGUUGAAAGGUUUACUUAGGUGGUUUUGACACCGUUCGCACAGAUGCAAGGUUAAUUCGUUCAUCAGUACUUCCCAUUUGAUCAUUGAACUGUGCAAAAUUUCAUACUCCGUUUUAGCGCGUCCCUGGCGUGCUUCUCCCCGCAUCUUAUUCCUAACGCUACUAACACUGCUUCCAGCAAGCUUCGUCACCAUCGGAACGAGAUUUGUUAAUUGGCAGGAAUGCGACAUCUAAAUAUGUAUUCUUGCCAUGGCAGCAAAAACUGACAAUCUCAUUCAUUGGCAAAGCUUAUGCCUGAGAGGGAGCUAGCAAACAAGCAUGCUUUAUAUUCAGGCCGUGCAAGCUGGAAGGAUCACUGCAAAUUGAUCCUAUCAAAGUGAGUGGCUUUGAAGGAAGGUGCGGUCUCCAUCCUGAAGAAAUGGCUGAUUGAUUCAGCUAUACGAAGCAACCCUGUCCUGCGAUUGAUAACUGGAAUCAUUUAUGCAGAAGCAAGACUACACACGGCGCUCUCAAGCACACACACACGGGAUCAGAGGAACUCUGGACCUGAUAGUUUUCUGUUUUCCAUAUGCCUUUAGAUGGUUCAACCUUUCAUUAAUGAAUUGGAUGCAAAAUCAUACUCAAGAGUGCCUUCUAAACAUGGUGUAUAUAUUUCACUUUGUUAGUGUCCCACCCAAUAGCUCCC